UCCGAGCAAAGCCUGCAGAAAGAAUUGUCUUCACUAAGAUAGGAUUCACGGUUCUCAAGUGCUUUAAGUUCAGGUGCAGUGCACCUUUGCUGGGAUUUGAGGUGGGUGCAAUGCCUAAUCUCUUUUUUUUUUUUUUUUUGAAAAGGAGGAUGAGCCCUCGGCCUCUGCAUCAUGAUGAUGCAUGCAGCCAUUUUAUUUAAUCGCAAAGGUUGAACCGUAGUGCAAGGUACAUAAACAGCCAGAAGUCUACCGAAAAAGAAAAAUAAAUACAUGCCAACAUGGGCUAAAUCAAGCUCAGACUAAGAUGCCUAUACACCUAGCCUGUUAGUGUGCAGCCAUCCAUAUCGGUUGAAGAUAGCCCGCGCUGCCGUCUCCCACCGGUUGCACCCAAUAGCCAAACGAUCCCUGAACUCCGGAGGCGUGAGUAACAACCACGUACGGAUCAAGGAGGUUGCUCUGUAUAUGACCUGUAAGAAGUUGUUGAAUCUAUUAUUGUUAAAAAUCAUAUCAUUCCUGNNNNNNNNNNNNNNNNNNNNNNNNNNUAAAAAUCAUAUCUUUCCUGCUAUUCCAAAUAGCCCAUAAUAAAGCAUAUGAUCCAAUCCUAAUUUGCUUGGCUAUAUUGUCUUGCACUCCAUUAAGCCACGUCCCAAAUAACAUGUUCAUACUUAAUGGAGUAUUAAUAUUAAAAGCUAUAUGAAUAGUGCGCCAUAAAAGUCUAGCCAAUGGACAAUUGAGAAAGAGGUGUUAUAUCGUUUCAUUGUUAUCACAGAAGCAACAUCUAGGGUUACCCACCCAUCGUCUUUUAAUCAAAUUAUCUUUCGUGAGUACGACCCCUUUGUGAAGAAACCACAUAAAAAUCUUAAUUUUUAGUGGUACUUUAAUUUUCCAAAUAUGUGAAGAGGUAGGAAUUGUUCCGGUAUUAAUGGUGUGUGUGUACAUCGAUUUCACUGUAAAACUACCACUUGUAGUUAACUUCCAGUGAAUUUUGUCUGCUUGGUCAGAUAGCUGUACAUUCAUAAGCCUUCUUACCAAGUGUAACCAAUAAUCUCAUCUUUCUCCCAGCAGUGACCUCCUGAAUUGAAUAUUCAGGGGGGUUGUCUGCAUAACUGUAGCGACAUAAUCCUGUUUACGUCGUACAAUAUUAUAUAAUACCGGAUACUGCGCAGAUAGUGGUGUAUCUCCCAACCACGUAUCCUCCCAAAAUCUGGUCGUGGUACCAUCGCCUAUGUGAAACUUCACCAUACGGAAAAAGGAUUGUUUUAUCUUCAUUAACCCUUUCCAAAACGGUGAAUCCGUGCGUUUCACUGUCACUUGUGCCAGAGUUUUGGUUUGUAGGUACUUAUUACGCAAAAUUUGCACCCAUAUUCCUUCCGUCUCCACUGAAAGUCUAUAAAUCCAUUUGCUUAAUAAGCACAUGUUUUUCACCUGUAGGUUUUCUAUUCCUAACCCUCCCUGAUCCUUCGUCCUGCACAUCAUGUCCCAUUUGGCAAGCCUAUAUUUCUUCUUACUUUCAUCACUUUGCCAAAAAAAUCUAGAUCUGUAAAAAUCUAGUCUUUUUCGUACCACUACAGGUAUCUCGAAAAAAGAUAGGAGGAACAUUGGUAAACUUGUUAACACUGAGUUAAUAAGCACUAGCCAGCCCCCAUAUGACAUAAGUUUGCUCUUCCAGCAACUUAGUCUUUUCUCAAAACGAUCCUCAAUGCUUUUCCAUUCUUUAUUUGUAAGUUUUCUGUGGUGAAUAGGUAUACCCAAAUAAGAAAAUGGCAACGAUCCCAUCUCGCAACCGAAUAAUUAUUUGUAGGAUUCUUGUUCCUCCUUGGCUUUACCAAAACAGAACAAUUCGCUUUUCUUAAAAUUAAUCUUUAGCCCCGAGAGUUGUUCAAACAGGAACAAUAUAAGUUUCAUAUUCCUAGCUUUGGCUAUGUCAUGCUCCAUAAAAAUGAUUGUAUCAUCCGCGUAUUGUAAGAUGGACACUCCUCCAUCCACCAAAUGUGGAAUCAGUCCCCCAAUAAGUGCCUUCUCCUUGGCUCUAUUUAUUAAGAUCGUCAACAUAUCAGCAAUUAUGUUGAAUAGAAUUGGGGACAUAGCAUCUCCCUGUCUUAAUCCUUUGUAGGUUUGGAAAUAAUGACCCAUGUCAUCGUUAAUCUUUAUCCCUACACUACCUUUCUGGAUAAAGGUCUCAACCUGUUUCCUCCAGGCUUCAUUGAACCCUUUCAUUCGCAUCGCUUGCUGUAGAAAAGGCCAUUUCACUUUGUCAUAUGCUUUCUCAAAAUCCACUUUAAAAACUACUCCAUCUAGUUUCUUAGAGUGUAUUUCGUGUAACGUUUCAUGCAGUACGACAACCCCUUCCAGGAUGUGUCUACCUGGCAUGAAUGUUGUUUGAGUUUCUUGAACAACCGAAUGUGCUAUCUGUGCCAAUUUAUUCGUUGCAACCUUUGUGAAUAUUUUGAAACUGACAUUUAGCAAACAAAUUGGCCUAAAUUGCUCAAUUCGAAUGGCUCCUUCUUUCUUUGGUAGUAAAGUUAUGGAGCCAAAGUUUAAGUGAAAUAAAUGGAGCUGCCCGGUAAAUAAAUCAUGAAACAUGGACAUAAGGUCAUCUUUUAUGAUGUGCCAGCAGCGUUUGUAAAACUCAAUUGGAAACCCAUCUGGUCCAGGGGCUUUGUUCUGUUUCAUUUGCAUAAUUGCAUCAAACACCUCUUUCUCAGUAAACGGAGCUGAAAGGACCCCAUUCUCAUCGUCAUUGAGUUGAGGUAUAUCCUCUGUAGCAGUUUCAUCUAAUGUUAUAGAGUUCACUUCGGGAGUACCAAAUAAUUUUUUAUAAUAGUUUGAGAUAUACAAUUUUAGGUUCUCAUGCUUAAUCUCUUGAAACUCAAGCUAGGUUUCGAUGCCCACGGUGUAGAUCAGCUCGGAACUAUAGCUGUAGACAUCAUGCAUUUAAUAGACCUUAAGGAAAUCUCUGCAAAAAUUUGGGGUGCUGGUGCCAUUGAUCCCUG
rnacentral:lncRNA from 1 species